AAGCCGAAAUAUAGACUUUCAUAACUAAAUCCUUGUAGUUGUAUUGUUCCCUUUAAGGCUUCUCUCGCAUGGUGGUCUGGUCUGGUCUGGUCCCGCACUGGUAAUUGGACAUGGCCACUAUUGGCGCCACCAAUUGCAAGUACUCAUGUGAGACAGCCGCUCAGACACUUCAAUGGAUCCACGCCAUCGUUGAUUUCCUUAAGCCUUAUUCUUUCUUCGUGAAUGCUCAUGUCGUCAAUUUUUUCAAGGAUAGACUGUGGGAAGCAAUUGACAAGGAAUGGAUUGAGUGUCUACGCAAAGAACCAGUCGAGAAUCUUCUUCAAAUUCCUUCUGGAGCAGUUCAGGAUCACUGGCCUGCUUCACUUAGGAACUUUAUUCUUACUUUAAGAUCUCUGGUGUUUCCUCGAGAACAAGCAGAUUUACAAACGGUAUUACCUGAUCUGAACAUAUGUUCACUUAGUACUGUUCUUGCACAAGGCAUGAAUCAGAAGAAAAAACAUGAAGUUGAAGUUCUUUCUGCGGUUGUCAGUUCCAUCACUAACUCUGUUACAGCUCACACAAUAGUUGAUGUUGGCGCUGGUCAGGGUUAUCUUGCACAAGUUCUUUCAUUCCACUACCAGCACUCUGUAAUUGCAAUAGAUGCUUCUUCUCAUCACGGAAGUGUUACAGAUGCACGUGCAGAACGAAUAAAGAGACAUUAUACUUCUCAGAUGCGUAAAUCUGAAUCAGGGAAGAGAAGUUUGAUUGUGCCUAAGACAAUCACAUGCCAUGUGAUGUCCAUUGACACGUUAAAAGAUUUGACCUCCGCUGCAAGGGUUAACAAUAGUGGGCAAGAUUGUGACAAUAAUGACACAGAACUGCAACAAUCUUUGCGCCACGGGGACAAUAAAACUUCAGUGGUUCUAGCUGGGCUUCAUGCUUGUGGAGAUCUUUCUGUGAUGAUGCUAAAGGCUUUUCUGGAUUGCAAAGAAGUCAAAGCAGUUGUUAGCAUAGGUUGCUGUUACAACCUAUUAUCUGAAGAAGGUUUUGACCAUGUCAAUUCUGAGUAUGGUUUUCCAAUGAGCCGUGGAGUUAAAUCAGCUGGCUUGCCACUUGGCAAGAGUUUGCGUGAUCUUGCUUGUCAGAGUGCAGAGAGGUGGAGAUGUCUGGAAACUGAUGCUGGAGCUCACAACUUUGAGAUGCAUGCUUUUCGUGCUGCUUUUCAGAUGGUUCUUAAUAAAUAUUAUCCGGAAGUCAUGACAAGAAGUCCAUCAAUCGGGCGUCAAGGAAAAGCCUUGCGUCGUCUACAGAAAAGGGCGACCUUUGACUCCGCGCUGAACCACAAAGAUAGCACUUGUGCAUCUUCACAUCGUAUGCAAUCUAAGCUGAAAGAAAGUACAGAGCCAGAAAGAGGUGAUAUCUUUAGCUCGGUAUCUGAGACAACAUCCCUAUCUGGUAGAGAUUCUCUCAGUGGCUCUGAAUGUGAGAACGCCAAUUGCACCGCCGAUAAUGAUUUUCUUUUCCUGAGAUACAGCCAGUCUGGAUUGUGCCACCUAGGUCUCAAGUCUUUGCAGGAUAUUGAAUUACAUAGAAUAUGGAAGGAAGUUGAGCCCUUUUCUGAAUUUAUUGGACUUUAUUGGUCUCUUCGAGCUGCUUUGGGGCCUCUCUUAGAAACAUAUAUUUUGCUCGAUAGACUGUUGUUCCUUCAAGAGCAAGGAAAUACCAUUGAAGCACUGAUGUUAUCAAUUUUUGACCCUGCAUUAUCACCAAGAAAUGUAGCAAUUAUUGCAAAAAAGAAGUGACAUAAAUGUAAUGUUUCAUGCAGGAUGUCAAAGGAAAGAAAUCUUAAAGAAAUAUGGAAAAAGUAAACAUAGAUAUGAUGGACAUAUACUAGCAUACACAUGUACUAUAUUGAUAGAUGGGCCAGUUCUGGCAGGUGUGGUAUUUUAGUUACUAAGUUCCAUACAUGGUAAGAUACCUUUUUGUCUGUAUUAGUUAUUUGAAGAAUGCGGUGGCAGUGUUCCAAGAAUACAUAUUCGAAGAGAGGAGCUAACCUUGAACUGGUGUGACUGUUAUGAAAGGCAAAAUUCAAUAUAGAUCAUUAUCAGUGAUUUUAACAAGCUUGGAUUAAUGUCACUGUUAUGGUCAUUGUGGUAAACAAAUGGCUUCCUCUGGAGGUAGGCCACGUGUUCAAGUUUGAACGCCUUUGUCGUCUUUUACACCCAGUCUUUCUUUGACUUCUUGUUCUUCUGUUAGCUGAUAGAAUUUUAUGGAAUUUUGGAAUAAUUUAACUUUGUUCUAAGGAAGACGACACAAGAGUAGCCGUCAUUAAAAAGAUGAUUCUUUUGAAUUAUAUUCCAAGUAGCCUACAAUAUUUUAAGAUAUAUGCACAAUCAUUAUCAUGGGUUAUAUUGGUGCUAAAUUAGUUAUAUUUGACCCAACUUAUUGGAAAACCAUAUUUGUUAAAAAGGAAGUUGGGUUACUUUAACUUUGAUUGUUUAACGACAAAA